rnacentral:rRNA from 1 species
AUUGAACGCUGGCGGCAGGCCUAACACAUGCAAGUCGAACGAGCGGCGGACGGGUGAGUAAUGUCUGGGAAACUGCCCGAUGGAGGGGGAUAACUACUGGAAACGGUAGCUAAUACCGCAUACCAUCGGAUGUACCCAUAUGGGAUUAGCUAGUAGGUGGGGUAAAGGCUCACCUAGGCCACGAUCCCUAGCUGGUCUGAGAGGAUGACCAGCCACACUGGAACUGAGACACGGUCCAGACUCCUACGGGAGGCAGCAGUGGGGAAUAUUGGACAAUGGGCGAAAGUCUGACGCAGCCAUGCCGCGUGUGUGAAGAAGGCUUUCGGGUUGUAAAGUACUGUCGGCAAGGAGGCGUUAUUCGAAGAAGAAGCACCGGCUAACUCCGUGCCAGCCGCCGCGGUAAUAC